UUAAAAUUAAUUAGAACCCUGCUUCUGGCAAUACUACUAUGAACUGGCAUACCUUGUGAUCAUGAGAGGAUGACAAGUUCCUGAUCCCCAAGAACGCCCUCAUGUGCGGCUGCCGGUCGUCGGACAAGACAUCUCUGACGACUUAGCCACACAGCGAUCCCAAGUUCGUCAUGGGAGGAUGUCACCUUGGACUGGAGCAACAGACGUCGAAAAUUAACUAGAAAAAAGGCUCACAAAUAAGAGUGACCCAAAUACAAAUUGUCGUACGUUUGCAAUUAAACUCUUAGUAGCAGCUUGAUUCUUACUAUUGUUACUUUGGUGGUGGGUAUAAUUAGUCAUGUGGUAGCAUCUUAGCUUCAUCUUAUUUCUUGAGAACAUAUCUAGCUAUCAGAUCUUCAAGAGUACACCAUAAAAAUUGAAACGCCUACCAGCUUCAUAGAAGAAAGUUAGUCUUAUGAUAGAAGAAAGGCCCAUCAGCCCUUACAGUGCCUGAUUGGUUAGCGACUGCUUUUUAGGCUCAACUGAUUACUGACUACGUCCAACAACAUAUGAGUGACAUGACCAAGUAGAAGUAAAUUUCGUUGUGAUCUAGAUGGUGCCUUUAUUUUGGAAAACACGAUUGAGAUGGGUAGGCGCAUGGGCUUCUCACCGGAACAAAUAGACAGACUGAUUUCACUCAUACACAGGUUGAUUAUAUUAUACGGUCAACUCACGAAGUAGCCGGAUACCUUCUGCUUGAAGUUUGAAAGCCAUUAGCAUGCUAAAUUAUAUGGAUGUGCUGGUCUUGACGUGUGUGCACGUACAUGGUAAAAUAAACUUGAGUAAUGAUUAAUACCUUGUUUACUCUUUUUUUGCUUUACAGGUAUUUGGAUAUCUAUUAUCAUUCAAGAUAUCUUAAGGAGAAAUUUGGUUUUUGGUGAACUGAAACAAUAUACAAAUAAAAAUUUAGUGCUUGGCUGUACAUAUGAAUGUUAACUUUGUUAAAAUACUUCUCCCUUUAUAAGAGAAGAUUUCUCAGUUCAAAUAUAUUUUUUGAAAAAAUAUAGUAUUUUCCUGACAAUACUUUUGAUUCUAAAACAUCCAUAUCUCAGAAGGAUAAUAGUGGUGUGUUUAUGUUUCUGUGGGUCUCUUAUCACUCGGAUCAUUCAUCAGAAAAAUAUUUCAAAAAUAAUUCUAUUUUGACGUUUCCUUUGUGUUCAUUGUUCCAUCAUAGUAGUUUAGGUUCACAUCAAACCAGACCAUAUGUUUCAGUUUCACUCUUUGGACCAUGAUGGUGGUGUGCAAGGUGGGCUAGAUCGUAAUGCUAAAAGAAUCAAUGGAGGUUAUUGGAUAGCUUUUAGAUUCUCCAAAAAAUAAUCUAGCAGAUGGAUGAUCCUAUUAUCACGUAUGGUGGUGGUGUGCAAGGAAAUGGAGCAGCAUGAUGGUAGCUACUGAUGUUAUUUUCACAUGUAAUUCCUGCGGAGUGUAGUAUAUUGGGAGCCAAGGCCGAGUAGCAAGCCAUGUGUCACCGCAAGGACAGGAGCGAGAUUUAAUUAAUUGUAUUUGCAAGAUUUGGUCUUCCCUUCUUGUUUUCCUGGUCAUCUCACAGGUCAUUAGUGGUCACUUGGGAUGAGUGCGAUCUGUAGCAUUUGAUCCAGGGAACAAAUGGUUUUGUCCUGGUUUUGCUGAUAGGACAAUAACGGCAAGGAAGAAGGUUGCAGAGCACGGAUGGAUGUGAAAAGGAAGAGGAUGGAUGAGAGAGGAGAGAAGAGGGGUGAAAGAGGAUACAGAUGGAAAGAGGGAGAAGGACAGGGUGGAGGCGCUUCUUGAGGAUUAUUGUCGACUGAUUUCAUACUCUCUUAUAAAUUCAUGGUUAGCUAGGUAAACCUUUUGUACAACAACUCUUGUUCAUAAGGAAGUUUGAUUUUUCGGCUUCUUAUUUUAGGUCAAUAUCAAGAACAGUUUAGUUAAUUUAGUUUAAUGUUUAUGUUUGAAAUUGACUUUUACCAUUCUGGUUGAAUGGGGAUGUGGAUAGAAGAGAUUGCGAGUCGGGUACGGUGAUGCCAACAUUGUAUUAGGGGCAGAUAGAUUUAAGUUCCGUCUUAUGUGCAUGAGGAUAGGAUCACUAUUAA